GGAGAGGUGGCCGAGUCGGUCGAAGGCGGCUUCCUGCUAAGAAGUUGUGUGGUCAAAAGCUGCACCGUGGGUUCGAAUCCCACCCUCUCCG
rnacentral:tRNA from 3 species